UACGUAGGGGGCGAGCGUUAUCCAGAUUUACUGGGCGUAAAGCGCGUGUAGGCGGCUGGUUAGGUGUGAUGUGAAAUCCUCGGGCUCAACCCGAGAACUGCAUUGCAAACCGGCCUGGCUAGAGUGCAGGAGAGGGAAGCGGAAUUCCAGGUGUAGCGGUGAAAUUCGUAGAUAUUCGGAGGAACACCAGUGGCGAAGGCGGCUCACUGGUCCAUUACUGACGCUGAGGUGCGAAAGCGUGGGGAGCAAACAGG
rnacentral:rRNA from 1 species